rnacentral:rRNA from 1 species
GAUGAACGCUGGCGGCGUGCCUAAUACAUGCAAGUCGAGCGAACGGACGAGAAGCUUGCUUCUCUGAUGUUAGCGGCGGACGGGUGAGUAACACGUGGAUAACCUACCUAUAAGACUGGGAUAACUUCGGGAGACCGGAGCUAAUACCGGAUAAUAUUUUGAACCGCAUGGUUCAAUAGUGAAAGACGGUCUUGCUGUCACUUAUAGAUGGAUCCGCGCUGCAUUAGCUAGUUGGUAAGGUAACGGCUUACCAAGGCAACGAUGCAUAGCCGACCUGAGAGGGUGAUCGGCCACACUGGAACUGAGACACGGUCCAGACUCCUACGGGAGGCAGCAGUAGGGAAUCUUCUGCAAUGGGCGAAAGCCUGACGGAGCAACGCCGCGUGAGUGAUGAAGGUCUUCGGAUCGUAAAACUCUGUUAUUAGGGAAGAACAAAUGUGUAAGUAACUGUGCACAUCUUGACGGUACCUAAUCAGAAAGCCACGGCUAACUACGUG